UCUAGAUCUGGCUGAGACCGGCAUGUGACCAAAUGAUGGAUGUUUUCUGUUCUUUUGCUGAACCUCUGAACAGAUUCCUGUGUUCUGCUGCUUCUUCUGAAUCAAGAGGAACGAGAGCUGUUUGUGGGGACUCGUCUCCAAGAGGACAGGAAGAGACAUUCAGAAGAAAUCUGUCUCAAUCAACCUUAUAGACUUUGAGUGGAGUAUGCUAUAGGUCGGGGUGUGACGUUCGAUCAUUUUAGUUUGUGGAUUUCUGUCUCUUGGUGUUUUCUGUUUCCUGUUUUAUUUUGUAGUCUCGCUUUCCUUGUGUUGUUCCAGCUUGUUGGGUGUGUCACUUCCUGUCUUGGUGAUUGUCUUCAUAUAUAUGAUUGUCUUUCACAGUCCUCAUGUGUUGAACCUGUGGCUAGUUAUCCCAGCCUUCCCUGUGUCUCUAUUUUUAAGCCUCUGUGUUCCCUUUGCCCUUUGUCGGUUCGUUACUCGUUUUUACACGUUGUCAUAUACGGUUCGUCGUGUCAUGCUGUCUCGUCCAGCUUCCCCUGCUUAUCUUUCCUUGUUCUACGUGCGCCUUGUCGCCAGUGGUUACCUGUUAGUGUUCAUGUUUAAAGACUCCUUUUAUAUUAAAUAUCUUUUUUGUUAUAACCUCUGCAUCCUGUGUCCAUCUCCUUCCUCAAACCGUGACACAGGGAGAGCUCUCUCACCAGGUCAUUUGUCAAUUUGUCUCUUUAAUUUUGUACAUGUAAUCAUAUUGUUGUUCUCCUGUCCACUAAAUAUGAAUCAAUUCAUUUCCAAAUGUGGGUAUGCUUCCUUUCCAUGUACACAAAAGGGAACAUGCUCCUUUGUCCCAGGGCACGUAUACCAUUGUAGGAUUUGAUCUCUUUAUUUGGCUUUAUUUCUCUCUGUUAGAAAUUAGGAUCAGUUAUUGGGUGUAUUUACUUCAAGAAUGUCACUUGUUGUUCUUUCAUGUAAUCAAGUUGCAGAGCUCCCACCGUCGGUGCUUCACACACGAUGCCUCAGUAAGAGUGUUGGGAGCAACGCGGUAUAAAGUAACGCGUUACUGUAAUUCCACUACUUUUAGCGGUAACGAGAAUGUAACGAAGUAUUUUUUUUAAUCAAGUAACGCAGUUAAAAUUGCUGGAAUUUAAAUAAGUUCGUUACUCGUGUUACUCUCUUUUGCAGGGGUGCCCAAUACGUCGAUCGCACGACUGGACAAGAGGCAGUCAUGAUGACGCGCCUGCGCACGUACCAGCCCUUUUCUUUUUUUCGACACCAAACUCUUGUGAAGAGGAGAACAUAAUACAUGUGUAGGCCUACUUUGAAAUAAAUGAAACCUAGAACUAUGCUAUUUUUGC